ACCCAGUGCCUUCUGACCUUCUCCCACCCAGACAGUUGUCCAGUUCUGUGCCUGAAACACUCUGCCUCUUUCCUGUUCGCUGGGCUGGGGAAUGGAAAAGUUGCAGUUUACGCUCGGAAGAGUGGAGCUCGUUCCAGUCGCUAGCUGCGGCGAACUGAAAAAAGGAGCGCUAAAGGUGAUCUCAAUUGUAACCAUCAAUUUCCACGAUUUAGCGCUCCCUAAAGCAGAUGUGACUGUGGGCAGUGGCCCCAUCCGCACCCUCCUAAUCCUGGAGAACACUUUGUGAGUUGUGCCAACUUCGUCACCGUCAUCCAGGGCUCCAGCUUCCACCUCCAGGUUCGAGGCGUACCUAGAGCACCUACAUGAGAUCACCAGCACGAGAUCAACACGCUCCAUAUUCCUCAGCCCAUGCAAGUACAGUAUAGAAGGUCACAGGUCACCGACUGCUUUUUUCACUCACAUUAUUCACUUACAUUAUUCAAAUCAACCCCCUAGACACUUGUGUAGGUCUAAAAUAAUUGUAUACAGGUAUGAACAAUCUGGUAAUAGGUUCACAUUGCCCUAUGUAAGGCUACGUGUAUUUUUUCCCCCCUAUUAAUCAUAUGUAUUCAUAGAGGCUAAGGUUGGAUGUGGGAGUGGGAAGCUGCAAUGUUGACAUGAACAGAAGGAAGUGACAGAAUGGUGGUUGUG